rnacentral:misc_RNA from 1 species
UUUCCGUAGGUGAACCUGCGGAAGGAUCAUUAAAGAAUUUGCCCCGUCCUCUCGAGGAUGGGUCCUCUUCUAAACCGUGUAUACAUACCUUUGUUGCUUUGGCGGGCCGCCGUCUCGGCGUUGGCUUCGGCUGACUGUGCCCGCCAGAGAACCCCAACUCUUCUGUUUAGUAUUGUCUGAGUACUAUAUAAUAGUUAAAACUUUCAACAACGGAUCUCUUGGUUCUGGCAUCGAUGAAGAGCGCAGC